rnacentral:rRNA from 1 species
AAGUUGGGGGUGAAAUCACGGGUCUCAACCUCGGAACUGCCUUCAAGACUACCAGUCUAGAGUUCGAGAGAGGUGAGUGGAAUUCCGAGUGUAGAGGUGAAAUUCGUAGAUAUUCGGAGGAACACCAGUGGCGAAGGCGGCUCACUGGCUCGAUACUGACGCUGAGGUGCGAAAGCGUGGGGAGCAAACAG